GUGCUCGCUUCUGCAGCACGUUAUUCUAAAACUGGAACAAUACAGAGAUUAGCACGGCCCCUGCACAGGACUGUAUGUAAAUUCACGAAGCAUUCCAUAGGUUU
ensembl:snRNA Gm24716 predicted gene, 24716